rnacentral:rRNA from 1 species
UACGUAGGGACCAAGCGUUGUUCGGAUUUACUGGGCGUAAAGGGCGCGUAGGCGGCGCGGUAAGUCACUUGUGAAAUCUCUGAGCUUAACUCAGAACGGCCAAGUGAUACUGCGGUGCUAGAGUGUGGAAGGGGCAAUCGGAAUUCUUGGUGUAGCGGUGAAAUGCGUAGAUAUCAAGAGGAACACCUGAGGUGAAGACGGGUUGCUGGGCCAACACUGACGCUGAGGCGCGAAAGCCAGGGGAGCAAACGGG